rnacentral:rRNA from 1 species
CCUACGGGGUGCAGCAGUGAGGAAUAUUGGUCAAUGGGCGGAAGCCUGAACCAGCCAAGUAGCGUGCGGGAUGAAGGCCCUACAGGUCGUAAACCGCUUUUGCACGGGGAUAACACCCUCCACUUGUGGAGGUCUGCAGGUACCGUGCGAAUAAGGGCCGGCUAAUUCCGUGCCAGCAGCCGCGGUAAUACGGAAGGCCCGAGCGUUAUCCGGAUGCAUUGGGCGUACAGGGAGCGUAGGCGGGCGUUCCAGUCAGCUGUAAAAUCGCGCGGCUCAACCGCGCCCCGCAGUUGAAACUGGACGCAUUGAGUUCACAACAGGCAGGCGGAAUUCGUGGUGUAGCGGUGAAAUGCAUAGAUAUCACGAGGAACCCCGAUUGCGAAGGCAGCCUGCCGGGGUGCGACUGACGCUGAGGCUCGAAGGUGCGGGUAUCAAACAGGAUUAGAUACCCCAGUAGUC